rnacentral:rRNA from 1 species
GAUGAACGCUAGCGGCAGGCUUAAUACAUGCAAGUCGAACGGCAAGGGACUUUCGGGUCCCCUAGAGUGGCGUACGGGUGAGUAACACGUACACAACAUGCCCUUUACUGGAAAAUAGCCCUGGGAAACUGGGAGUAAUAGUCCAUAAUAUUAUUUGGAGGCAUCUUUGAAUAAUUAAAGCUACGGCGGUAAAGGAUUGGUGUGCGUCCCAUUAGCUAGUUGGUAGGGUAACGGCCUACCAAGGCGACGAUGGGUAGCUGGCGUGAGAGCGCGACCAGCCACACUGGAACUGAGACACGGUCCAGACUCCUACGGGAGGCAGCAGUAGGGAAUAUUGGACAAUGGGCGGAAGCCUGAUCCAGCCAUGCCGCGUGGAGGAAGACGGCCCUCUGGGUUGUAAACUCCUUUUGAAAGGGAAGAAACCUCUCUAUUUAUGGAUGAGCUGACGGUACCUUUCGAAUAAGCACCGGCUAACUCCGUG